UCCCGAACAGGACAGUGAAACGCCUUCGCGCCGAUGAUAGUGCGCAUUCGCGUGUGAAAGUAGGUCAUCGUCAGGC
rnacentral:rRNA from 1 species